AACGAACGCUGGCGGCAGGCUUAACACAUGCAAGUCGAACGCCCCGCAAGGGGAGUGGCAGACGGGUGAGUAACGCGUGGGAACAUGCCCAAAGGUACGGAAUAUUCUCGGGAAACUGGGAGCAAUACCGUAUGUGCCCGAAAGGGGAAAGAUUUAUCGCCUUUGGAUUGGCCCGCGUUGGAUUAGCUAGUUGGUGGGGUAAAAGCCUACCAAGGCGACGAUCCAUAGCUGGUCUGAGAGGAUGAUCAGCCACAUUGGGACUGAGACACGGCCCAAACUCCUACGGGAGGCAGCAGUGGGGAAUAUUGGACAAUGGGCGCAAGCCUGAUCCAGCCAUGCCGCGUGAGUGAUGAAGGCCUUAGGGUUGUAAAGCUCUUUCACCGAUGAAGAUAAUGACGGUAGUCGGAGAAGAAGCCCCGGCUAACUUCGUGCCAGCAGCCGCGGUAACAC
rnacentral:rRNA from 1 species